UUCCCCUUCUUUUUUUUUGGGAAAGAAACGUAUUACCUUGUUUCUUUACCUAAGAGAUCCUAUUUUCACUUUCUCCCCAAAUUUUUUCAGCUACUUACCCUUUUUUCUACAAAAAUUGAUGCAUUCCAUAACUUGAAAUUGGUCCUUGAAGAAGGUCUUUGUAUUUAUUUCAAGGAGAAAUGAGAGGAUUGGAAACAUGAUAUGUAGGGAUGGGCAUAGAAACUUCAUAUUCAAAAAAAAAUCUACUCGAUUUCUCCAAUUUUCAUAGAUACUGGAUUUUUCUUUCAACCAUCAGAUGAAAUCAUGUUGGUGACUUUUGUUUCGCAACUCGACGAUGAAACAAUUAAAGGUUGAUCUUAAGUUCAAUGACAAGAUUUUGGUUGAUCAAGGGCAGUCCAAAUAUCAGGUUUUCGGGAGUUCAGAUCGAAGAUUUUAUACCUAAAUCAAAGAUUAUUCUAUAUGCUAGUAGAUUGACAAUUGGAUGGUCCUUGUAUCUUUCUAUUUUAUUUACUAAUUCAUUAUUAUCAUGCAAUUAUAAUAGUACUCAUGUAUGAACUUCAAUUGUUGUUUAUGUCAAAAUGUUUUUGCCCUC